rnacentral:rRNA from 1 species
UACGUAGGGUGCGAGCGUUAAUCGGAAUUACUGGCGUAAGCGUGCGCAGGCGGUUUGUAAGCCAGAUGUGAAAUCCCCGGGCUUAACCUGGGAAUGGCAUUUGGGACUGCAAGGCUGGAGUGUGGCAGAGGAGACGUGGAAUUCCUGGUGUAGCAGUGAAAUGCGUAGAUAUCAGGAGGAAUACCGAUGGCGAAGGCAGGUCUCUGG